GCCCCCAUAGCUCAAUGGAUAGAGCAGUGCUCUUCUAAGGCAUUGAUGUACGUUCGACUCGUGCUGGGGGCA
rnacentral:tRNA from 6 species